UCCUGUAACCCAGAUGCCAGAGGAAAUGCAAAGAAAGGAGUGCAAUGAAGAUUUAAAGGAACAAAGGAAAGUCUGGCAAAAGUUGAAAAUUGACUUAGAAUUGCUCUGCACUGAAUAAUCUGCUGUUGGGACUGCAGCAACGGAGUGCAUUCUCUCCGAACAUCAUGGGAAGAAAGCUGUCUAGACAGGAGGGAAUGCAAAAUGGAAAUUUGGUGGCAACAGUUUCUAUGACACAAGAUGAAGCCCCUUUCUCAAGAACACAGGCUCCCUGUGAGAACGUGUCAUCUCCUCAGGAAUAAGAAGGGGAAAGCAUAUCAGGAGCUGCAAAUGUUUCAAUGCUCCCGCUAUCAUCUCCGUCCUGGAGGCUGGCACAAAUAAAUGCAUUCGCAAUGAAAUGUCCUCUGAGCUCAUGCAGUCCUCCAGCACUGAAAGAGCUCAGCAAAAUGCAUGGAGGCAGACAAUGUCAGAGUCCAGGAAAGCACAAAAUGAAUGCAAGGACAGGAAACAUGCACAAGAGGACAGGUGGCGGGAGCAAGAGGAGAGGUGGCAGAAGCAAGAUGAUAGGUGGUGGCAGCGUGAUGAAAGGAGGCAGGAUGCAAUGCUGAGGCUACUGGAGGAUAAAACUGAUAUGCUCUGGCAUCUGGUGGCACUGCAGGAAAGGCAGCAGGAGCACAGACUGCUGCUGCAGCCCCUGUGUAACCAAUUGCCCUUCUCUCCUGAAAUAAACAGAUAGCUAAGGGUUAAUGUCUCUUUCACCUGUAAAGGGUUAACAAACAGUGACCUGCAAUACCUGACCAGAGGACCAAUCAGGAGACAAGAUACUUUCAAAUCUCGGUGGAGGGAAGCCUUUGUGUGUGUUUUUGGGUUUUGCUUUGUUCUCUCUGGACUCUGAGAGUGACCACACGACCCUACAGGUUCUCUAAUCUUCUAUUCCCAUUUUGCGAGUAAAAAGGUAGAAAGGCGGUAUAGUCUUUUUAUUUCUUUUCCUUUAUUUGCAAUUGUGUAGUUGCUGGAAGUAUUUUAAAUUGUAUUUGCUGGGGGGAGGCUUCUUUUUAGUUUCUAUAAGCUGACAGACCCUGU